CUGCUCAAACUUACUGCUGGCUGCAAAUGUGGACUAUAAAUUCCAGAGGCACCUGGAAGCAGGAAGAAGUGAUGAGUAACCCUGUAGAGUCCUGCUGCUGUAAUUCUGGAUUACAGCAGAGACCCCAGAGACCUCGGGGGUCACAGGAAGACGACAUGAACACACAGCCAGAGAGCCGUGCUCUAGCACACCCCCAGCUUCUGGCCUGACCCACUGCAGGCAUGUGGCUGGAUUUCCUGAAUCAAAGAUUGUUUUGAAAGAACACUGGCAAGAAAAAAGAAUAAGCACAUUCAUCAUUUCAUGCUGGCUAGAUAAUUGAAGAAAAGAGUUUGAAGACAGAUGCCUGGAACUUCUAAGACUUGUAAUGUUGGGUUUCGCAGGCAGGCGGCUAGUCACCUGCAACAACCAAGGGGUCCUGCAGAAGCUUCCAAGCUGCUAUCAGUAUCAGAUGCCA